rnacentral:rRNA from 1 species
GACGAACGCUGGCGGCGUGCCUAAUACAUGCAAGUUGAGCGCUGAAGGUUGGUACUUGUACCAACUGGAUGAGCAGCGAACGGGUGAGUAACGCGUGGGGAAUCUGCCUUUGAGCGGGGGGCAACAUUUGGAAACGAAUGCUAAUACCGCAUAAAAACUUUAAACACAAGUUUUAAGUUUGAAAGAUGCAAUUGCAUCGCUCAAAGAUGAUCCCGCGUUGUAUUAGCUAGUUGGUGAGGUAAAGGCUCACCAAGGCGAUGAUACAUAGCCGACCUGAGAGGGUGAUCGGCCACAUUGGGACUGAGACACGGCCCAAACUCCUACGGGAGGCAGCAGUAGGGAAUCUUCGGCAAUGGACGAAAGUCUGACCGAGCAACGCCGCGUGAGUGAAGAAGGUUUUCGGAUCGUAAAACUCUGUUGGUAGAGAAGAACGUUGGUGAGAGUGGAAAGCUCAUCAAGUGACGGUAACUACCCAGAAAGGGACGGCUAACUACGUG